rnacentral:rRNA from 1 species
AACGCUGGCGGCGCGCCUAACACAUGCAAGUCGAACGAGCGAGAGAGAGCUUGCUUUCUCGAGCGAGUGGCGAACGGGUGAGUAACGCGUGAGGAACCUGCCUCAAAGAGGGGGACAACAGUUGGAAACGACUGCUAAUACCGCAUAAGCCCACGACCCGGCAUCGGGUAGAGGGAAAAGGAGCAAUCCGCUUUGAGAUGGCCUCGCGUCCGAUUAGCUAGUUGGUGAGGUAAUGGCCCACCAAGGCGACGAUCGGUAGCCGGACUGAGAGGUUGAACGGCCACAUUGGGACUGAGACACGGCCCAGACUCCUACGGGAGGCAGCAGUGGGGAAUAUUGCACAAUGGGGGAAACCCUGAUGCAGCGACGCCGCGUGGAGGAAGAAGGUCUUCGGAUUGUAAACUCCUGUUGUUGAGGAAGAUAAUGACGGUACUCAACAAGGAAGUGACGGCUAACUACGUG